rnacentral:rRNA from 1 species
UACGGAGGGUGCAAGCGUUAUCCGGAUUCACUGGGUUUAAAGGGUGCGUAGGUGGGUUGGUACAGUCAGUGGUGAAAUCUCCAGGCUCAACUUGGAAACUGCCAUUGAUACUAUUAAUCUUGAAUACCGUGGAGGUCAGCGGAAUAUGUCAUGUAGCGGUGAAAUGCUUAGAUAUGACAUAGAACACCAAUUGCGAAGGCAGCUGGCUACACGAAUAUUGACACUGAUGCACGAAAGCGUGGGGAUCAAACAGGA